CAGAGGAGCCAAGCGUUGUCCGGAUUGACUGGGCGUAAAGCGCACGCAGGCGGAUGCGCGCGUGGGGUGUGAAAUCUGGCCGCUUAACGGCCAGGCGCCAUCCCAUACGGCGCGUCUGGAGCCUUGCAGAGGUCGGUGGAAUUGCCGGUGUAGUGGUGAAAUGCGUAGAGAUCGGCAGGAACACCCAGGGAGAAACCAGCCGACUGGGCAAGUGCUGACGCUGAGGUGCGAGAGCGUGGGGAGCGAACCGGAUUAGAUACCCGGGUAGUCCACGCCGUAAACGAUGGCCACUCGGCCUUUGGGGGCGGAAUCUCCGUCCGUGGGGGCCUUAGCAAACGCGGGAAGUGGCCCGCCUGGGAACUACGAGCGCAAGCUUA
rnacentral:rRNA from 1 species